rnacentral:rRNA from 1 species
GAUGAAUGCUAGCGGCAGGCCUAACACAUGCAAGUCGAGGGGUAGCAGGAUUAAGCUUGCUUAAUUGCUGACGACCGGCGCACGGGUGCGUAACGCGUAUGCGACCUACCUUAUACUGGGGUAUAGCCCGGAGAAAUUCGGAUUAAUCCCCCAUAGUACUAAUGAAUCGCAUGGUUUAUUAGUUAAAGCAUUGCGGUAUAAGAUGGGCAUGCGUCCUAUUAGCUAGAUGGUGAGGUAACGGCUCACCAUGGCUACGAUAGGUAGGGGGCCUGAGAGGGUGGUCCCCCACACUGGUACUGGGACACGGACCAGACUCCUACGGGAGGCAGCAGUGAGGAAUAUUGGUCAAUGGGCGCAAUCCUGAACCAGCCAUGCCGCGUGCAGGAAGAAUGCCCUAUGGGUUGUAAACUGCUUUUAUUUGGGAAUAAACCUCUUUACGUGUAGAGAGCUGAAGGUACCAAAUGAAUAAGCACCGGCUAACUCCGUGCCAGCAGCCGCCGUAA